GAAGACAUGCAAACACGAACAGACAGACAGACAGACAAUUUUCUGAAAGCCAGACAGAGGAGUCAAUGACCUUAAUAGACCAGACACGAAGUCAGAUGACCGUAUGAAAGGCUAGACAGGUUGAUAAGUGACCUUGAGAAGCCAGACAGGCAGGCAGGCAGACAUAUCUGACUUUGGGAAGCCAUAUACUGAUUGGUAAAAACAAAAACCAGAAGAGGUUAGACAGAGAGACAGACGAUCUUGGGAAGCCAUACUGACAGGUCAAUGACCAUAGGUUGAUGUUUCGUAUAAGGUGAAUGUGACAUGAGGUGAAUAAGGCAGGCCUAAAUUGGAUAAAUAGACCUAUUGCAAGAAUGAGUGUUACCUACCUAUAAAAUAGGCAAUAAAACUACCAAUUUUCAAUGAUGUUUGAUCCAAGGUAGGUACCUAUAAUAUGUAAUAUUUUGUUAUACCCUUCAAUUUAAUACCUACCUAGUUUGUUACCCACCUACGUUUUUUUUCCAACAGUGGUAAAUACCUAGUGAAUAAAACAUGCGUAAAAAUACGGUUUUUGCAAUAAGUGUAUUACUUGUCUACGUUGCAAUAGUUCCAGUAAUCGAAUCUAGGAGGUUGAGAUGUCAUAUUUUUGGUCAAGUGUACUACAAUCGUGACAAUUGCUUGAUUAGUUGCAGUCGAGAAUGUAAUGCCGAAGGAUGCAUCGGAUACGUGAGAUGUGAGUACAGAGUGAUCGAGAACAGGGAUGCGUUUAUUUGUAUUUGCGUGACCAGGGAACUUUAUUCAAAAUGAAGGAAGUAUUGUGAUGAUUUGAUUCAGGCUUAUUGUGAUUUAAUAAAAAUUCAUUCUUGA